ensembl:lncRNA
AGUGUACGUCAGUAGACGAGAACACCAGACCAAUGUUUUUGCAUGCGCAUGCCAUUUGGCUUGGUAAGCUGAUCAGAGACGUCUGCUCCAAGCUGCUAAGUGUGCAGAGCUGUCUCCAGUUGUGUGGUGGUGCGUUCAUGUGCUCAGAGAAAGUUUGACGACAUUACCUGAUGUCAUCAGUCACAACAACGACGGAUUCCGAGUGUUUUUAGCUGAGCUACAACAGACUUCAGAUUUCCUGGAUGUGAUGUCAUGUAGGCUGGUUGUGUUUUAUGUGCAAUGCAAUGCUUAGUCACUGGAUGACCCCUUUUUUUGUUGAGUAACUAAUUAUAUGGGCUCUGAAGGAUCCGUCUUCGCUGGCUAUGCAAAGAUCAGAAGAAUUAACUUAUUGCGUUCUUCUUUAAAUUUGGUCAGUUGUCCCAUAAAUACUCUUUGUGCUGUCCACGUUUGUAUGUAGAUGAACAUCUGUGGCACACUUGCUUGGGAUCAAACAGUCUGUUGUUGUAUAUUAUGGAUGUGGUUGAAUUGUAACUUACAUUUUGGAAUAGCUUUGUCCCUGAAUGGACGUGGACAUUGUUGAGCAUAUAUGAUAUGAGUCCAAAGCCAUGUCAAAUAGCUAAUGUAAUGACGCCACAUGUAACACGUGUGCCUGCGUGCACCUGGAUGCUGAUGUAAAUAUGCGCAAAAUAAAACCAGUCAGUGCAAGUUCUCAAACCAAGGAGAUGAUGGCGGUCUGUCCUUUUUCUCCCGUGAAUAAUGAUACCUGGACGUAUUAACUGACCACGUUGGCGACUGUACUAACGGUAGACUGCUGCAGGAAUGUCUAACGCUACAGGUUAUGGGCCCAGUCAUGCAGGCCAAAGGUGGUUCAGACUUUUAUUCGACGGUGAUGAGAAAAGUUACGAACUCUGGGAAACAAGGUUCCUCGCGCACAUGGAGUUACGCAGCCUCAGAGAAGCUAUCCUGGAAGACCCACAGAUAGAUGAGGAGGACGAAGGAGCUCUCGUGGAAGAUGAGGCAAAGAAUGGUGAGGCGUAUGCAAAACUAGUGCAAUGUCUAGACAACAAGAGCUUGUCAUUGGUAAUGAGGGACGCGCAACGUGACGGAAAAAAAGCGCUAAAUAUUCCCCGCGAGCACUAUGCGGGAAAGAACAAACCCCGCGUUGUGAGUUUGUAUUGUGAACUUUCCUCGCUCUACAAGGCUAGCAAUGAAACUGUCACUGAAUAUGUUUUUAGAGCCGAGACCAUAUUCACGUCAUUGAGAAGAGCAGACGAGGAUAUUAGUGAUGCACUUCAAAUA